CACGCACGCAGUUACUGCGCAAGUCGGGGACGACCCCACCAAAAAAGAAUGAGCCGGCAGCGCCA
rnacentral:misc_RNA from 1 species